UCAUCAAUCCGGCCCCUCCUCUCUCUCUCUCUCUUAACAGUUAAAACAUCGUAAUGGAAUGUGUUUCCCAUUUUUAGUUAAAUAAUGCCUGUAACAAACACGCAAUCUCAUAGCCCUUGAAGGAAAAAGCCCAGGGAACCCAGAAAUCUGCCAUUGUUGCUUGCACGAUCUCUAAAGCAAAAGAAGGCCUUCUUCCCGAGGACACCUUUUGUAUUUGGCGUUUGCUUUUUCUUCACUUUCCAGUUAUUGAGAGUUGCAGAAAGGUAUGGUCUUGACGUGUUUUAUUCAUCUUCCUCGAUUAAAUUCGUCGUCCGAAAGGUGCUUCUCCUUUGUGGGUGUCAGAUGGGUUGCUUUUGCUCUUGUUUAUGGGCAUGGGAGCUGCAGAAAAAUUGGAUCUUUAUCAAUCGUUUCAAGUCCCUGUUUAGAUUUGGAUAGAUAAAGAGGAUCCUCCCUUUUUAGCUGGAACAUCAUCGUUUCUCUGGUAUUUUUGGUGAGAAGGCAAUUGCAGAAACAAUCGAUCUUGUGGAUUUUAUUUUCUUUCAGCAUUGUUGAGUGUUGAUUGGAUUCACCACGUAAGGAGUGUUUUCAAUGGAAUCAAAUACGGUUUUAUUGUUCUUCCUUCUAUGGUUGAAGGUCUCUUGAAGACUUCUGAGCUCUUUGAUCUCUUUCAUUUUAUAAUAAGAUCAGUUUGUUGGAUCGUAAGUUCAUUUAUUUUAAUUCCAGAGUUUUGGAGUCUUGAUUAUAAUGGCUGAGGAGAGGAUUGAGAUGCCAUUGACCCCCGAUAGAACAAAUCCCCAAGGUAGUUGCUUGAGAAGAAACUCAACAGGUAAAACAAGUACACCAGGCAGCAGUGAAAAAAUUGACCCCCAUUAUCGCAGAGCUUCUACCAGUUCCUGCCAUGAUUUCUGUAAAUAUGGAAAGAAAAUUGCGUUUGAAUCAAAGGGGAAGCAUCCUACACUGAAGACAGUUGCUUCAACACCAACUGAAGAUGAAGAUCUGAUAAACUGUUCUACUCCAGUAGAGAGGAAAAAACCUGUGAAGCUCAAACCUUCACCAGAUCUGAAAGUUAAGUUACCCAAUCAAACUGGAGCUAUAAAGCAAGAAAAUGGAGCUUCAUUAUCUUCCAAGAAAAUGGAUGUUAUUGCAAAUGGAACUUCAUCACCUGCCAAGAAAAUGGGUGUCUCUGCAAAUGGUACUUCAUCACCUUCCAAGAAAAUGGAUGUCUCUGCAAAUGGUACUUCAUCACCUGCCAAGAAAAAACAUGUCCCUGCAAAUGGAGCCUUAUCAGUUGCCAAAAAAGUAAAUGUGUCUGCACAAUCAAUUUCAUCACCUGCCAAGAAAAUAGAUAUAUCUGCAAAAGAAGCUUCAUCUGCCUUACCUGCAAAACCUACUACUUUGAAGCCAAAGCCUGCUGGAGUAAAACCAUCUUCAUCACAUAUCAAUCUUUCAGGAAGUCCAAGGAGUACAGGUGACAAGAAGAUAGUGAAGAAUGCAGGGAAUUUAAAAAUAGGCACAAAGAAGGUAUUGGAACCUUCAACAGCUUCUCAGUCCCCUAAGCCUUCUCUUAACAGAGUUGCCAGUUUAAAUACAAGAAAGCUUAGGAUCGUGAAAGCAACCUCUCCUUUAAAGAAUCAGAACAAGAUUAAGAAAGUUCAGCCCAAAUCAUCCAAUGAUGAAGAAACCAGAGAAAAGACAUUGUCUAUCAUUGAACCAGAGCUUGAGAACAGCUUCAAGCCAGAUGAAAAUGGAAACAGUACUACUCAAAGUGAGAACAGCAGUUUCUCACCAGUAGAAAAUGGAAACCAUACUACUGAACUAUCAAAAUCAUUAUCACCAUUGUCAUCAUCAUCAAUGCCUUUUUCCCCUUCAUCCUCUCCAUCUUUGUCAUCACAGGUGGAAGAAGAAAAUGAGGAGACAGAGUCCACAGUUAGUGAAGAAAUGGAUUCCGCCUCUGAAGAUGAUGAAGCUGAAAUUAAGAACCAAAAGCUAAAGUUUAGGAGUGGAAAGGUGAUUAGCCCUCAGUCCGAGAAUGAUGUCCCAAGGAAACUCAGAUUCAGGCAGGGAAGACUAUUGGAGGGAAACCAAAAUGGUAAAGCUGAUGCUGGGAGGAGAAGCUUUAGGAGGAUAGAAACAUCUGAUAGUAACCAAAAUGGUACUAAACCUGAAUCCGAAAAGGUUGUUCUGAAGCACCAAGAUGCACAGGAAAAGAAAGAUGUUCAGGGCUUGUUUAACAAUGUAAUUGAGGAGACUGCAAGUAAGCUCGUUGAGAAAAGGAAGAGCAAGGUGAAGGCAUUGGUGGGUGCUUUUGAAACUGUUAUCUCCCUCCAAGAGACAAAACCUCAUACUACAACCACUGGUUGAAUUCCAAGGAACGCCUCUCUUUUCUUCCACCUUACAUUUAGCUUUGUAAAGAAUAAUCUGACAUAGACAAAGGUUUAUAUGAAAACUGAAAGCUUGUGAAGUUACUGAAGUGUAGAUGAAGAGAGUUCAGUGGAGAAGCCUAAACAAUUCGUUUAGAGAAGGGAUCAAAAAGCAACCUGGAAAUCUCCCACUGCCCGUGACCGUGAGCCACUUUCUACAUUGGUUUCUCUAUUCAAUAUACUAUUUAGUCUCUAGCAUUCCGGCUCCAAUGGGUGGGGUGGUUUCAGAGUUGAUCCACCACCAACCCAUCGAAAGCCUUCAUCAACGGCUGUUAAUGAUCUAUGAAGCUGCUACUAUGAGUCCGACUCCCAACCAUCGUCUCUAGAUAUGUGCCGGAGACUUUACUACACCGGAGUGGGAAGAGGAAACCAUGGCAGCUUACUUCUUUACUAUUACUUCAUUUAUAUACUGAUACAAAUGCAUGGGAGAGCAAAUGAAAAUAACAUUAUCAACGGC